rnacentral:ncRNA from 16 species
UCGUGGCUUAAUGGGUAGCGUGCCGGUUUGUAGGUCCGGAGUCCCGGGUUCAAUUCCCGGCG